rnacentral:rRNA from 1 species
AGCGGCGAACGGGUGAGUAACACGUGAGCAACCUACCCUCAACUUUGGGAUAAGCCUCGGAAACGGGGUCUAAUACCGGAUAUGAUCUCCUGCUUCAUGGUGGGGGGUUGAAAGUUCUGGCGGUUGGGGAUGGGCUCGCGGCCUAUCAGCUUGUUGGUGGGGUAAUGGCCUACCAAGGCGUCGACGGGUAGCCGGCCUGAGAGGGCGACCGGCCACACUGGGACUGAGACACGGCCCAGACUCCUACGGGAGGCAGCAGUGGGGAAUAUUGCGCAAUGGACGAAAGUCUGACGCAGCAACGCCGCGUGAGGGAUGACGGCCUUCGGGUUGUAAACCUCUUUCAGCAGGGACGAAGCGAGAGUGACGGUACCUGCAGAAGAAGGACCGGCCAACUACGUGCCAGCAGCCGCGGUAAUACGUAGGGUCCGAGCGUUGUCCGGAAUUAUUGGGCGUAAAGGGCUCGUAGGCGGUUCGUCACGUCGGGAGUGAAAACUCGGAGCUUAACUCCGAGCCUGCUUCCGAUACGGGCAGACUAGAGGUAGGCAGGGGAGAGCGGAACUCCUGGUGUAGCGGUGGAAUGCGCAGAUAUCAGGAAGAACACCGGUGGCGAAGGCGGCUCUCUGGGCCUUACCUGACGCUGAGGAGCGAAAGCGUGGGUAGCGAACAGGAUUAGAUACCCU